rnacentral:rRNA from 1 species
GACGAACGCUGGCGGCGUGCUUAACACAUGCAAGUCGAACGGAAAGGCCCCCUUGUGGGGUACUCGAGUGGCGAACGGGUGAGUAACACGUGAGUAACCUACCCUUGACUUUUUGAUAACUUCAUGAAACUGGGGCUAAUACCGUAUAGGAGCUCCUGCUGCAUGGUGGGGGUUGGAAAGUUUCGGCGGUUGGGGAUGGACUCGCGGCUUAUCAGCUUGUUGGUGGGGUAGUGGCUCACCAAGGCGUUGACGGGUAGUCGGCCUGAGAGGGUGACCGGCCACAUUGGGCCUGAGAUAGGGACCAGAGUCCUACGGGAGGCAGCAGUGGGGAAUAUUGCACAAUGGGCGGAAGCCUGAUGCAGCAGCGCCGCGUGCGGGAUGACGGCCUUCGGGUUGUAAACCGCUUUCGCCUGUGACGAAGCGUGAGUGACGGUAAUGGGUAAAGAAGCACCGGCUAACUACGUG